rnacentral:misc_RNA from 1 species
GUCUUUUGGUUAUUUAUAAAGGUGUGUAUGUAGAUGUAAAAAGUGAAGAGGGGUUAAGAAAGAAAAAAGUUUGAACGAGGUCGCGCCCGAAAAAAAUCUCUCUUCUUCUGGAGAGACCUCGAACAAGGGGCACAAAAGGGGUGUAAGUCUAGAGAAGAAAGAAAAAAAGGAUUUUUCUUUUCCCAUGAUGAUCCUUCCGCAGGUUCACCUACGGAAA